rnacentral:rRNA from 1 species
GUCCACGCUGUAAACGAUGAGUGCUAGGUGCUGUGGGUAUUGACCCCCGCGGUGCCGAAGCUAACGCGAUAAGCACUCCGCCUGUGGAGUAUGGCCGCAAGGCUAAAACUCAAAGGAAUUGACGGGUGCCCCGCACAAGAGGUGGAGCAUGUGGUUCAAUUCGACGCAACGCGCAGAACCUUACCUGGGUUAAAUCCACUCGAACUUAGCAGAGAUGCUUUGGUGCCCUUCGGGGAAUGAGUGAGACGGUGCUGCAUGGCUGUCGU